UACGAAGGGGGCUAGCGUUGUUCGGAAUUACUGGGCGUAAAGCGUGCGCAGGCGGCUUCUCAAGUCAGGGGUGAAAGCCCAGAGCUCAACUCUGGAAUUGCCUUUGAGACUGAGAGGCUUGAGUACGGGAGAGGUGAGUGGAAUUCCCAGUGUAGAGGUGAAAUUCGUAGAUAUUGGGAAGAACACCGGUGGCGAAGGCGGCUCACUGGCCCGAAACUGACGCUCAUGCACGACAGCGUGGGGAUCAAACAGG
rnacentral:rRNA from 1 species